GGGUCAGUAGGUUGGUCGUGCCACCGGUACGUACUGGUCUCACUGAUUCCUCCUUCCUGAAGAACAGUAAUGCCAUUAAUUUGGUGUUGCGGGGAAACAGGACUGUUACUUUGAAAAAAUUAGAGUGUUUAAAGCAAGCUAACGCUUGAAUACAUUAGCAUGGAAUAAUGAAAUAGGACGAUCGAUCCUAUUUUGUUGGUUUCUAGGAUUGACGUA
rnacentral:rRNA from 1 species